GCAAGUCGAACGAUGAUUAAGAGCUUGCUCUUAUGAUUAGUGGCGGACGGGUGAGUAACGUAUAGGGAUCUGCCUGACAGUGGGGGACAACAGCCGGAAACGGCUGCUAAUACCGCAUACGCUCUACGGAGGAAAGUGGGGGAUCUUCGGACCUCACGCUGACAGAUGAACCUAUAUCGGAUUAGCUAGAUGGUGGGGUAAAGGCCUACCAUGGCGACGAUCUGUAGCUGGUUUGAGAGAAUGAUCAGCCACACUGGGACCGAGACACGGCCCAGACUCCUACGGGAGGCAGCAGUGGGGAAUAUUGGACAAUGGGCGCAAGCCUGAUCCAGCAAUGCCGCGUGUGUGAAGAAGGCCUUCGGGUUGUAAAGCACUUUAAGUUGGGAGGAAAGCCUUUUCAUUAAUACUGGGAAGGGGUGACGUUACCAACAGA
rnacentral:rRNA from 1 species